UGGGGCUAGGGGUGAAAGGCCAAUCAAAUUCCGUGAUAGCUGGUUCUCUCCGAAAUGCAUUUAGGUGCAGCGUCGGAUCGAUUACAUCCGGGGGGUAGAGCGACUGGAUGCUUGCGGGCCCAUAUCGGGUACCAACAGCAACCAAACUCCGAAUACCCGUGAUGCGUAUCCCGGCAGUGAGUCGGCGGGGGAUAAGCUCCGUCGUCGAAAGGGAAACAGCCCAGAUCGUCGUCUAAGGUCCCCAAGCGUGUGCUAAGUGGGAAAGGAUGUGGAGUCGCAUAGACAGCCAGGAGGUUGGCUCAGAAGCAGCCACCCUUGAAAGAGUGCGUAACAGCUCACUGGUCUAGUGGUUCCGCGCCGACAAUGUAGCGGGGCUCAAGCACACCACCGAAGACGCGGCAGUAGCUUUGCUACUGGGUAGGAGAGCGUCCCAUGCGGGGCGAAGCGGCGGCGCAAGCCCGCCGUGGACCGCAUGGGAGUGAGAAUGCAGACAUGAGUAGCGAAAGACGGGUGAAGAUCCCGUCCGCUGGACGACCAAGGGUUCCAGGGCCACGUUCAUCGUCCCUGGGUGAGUCGGGUCCUAAGGCGAGGCCGACAGGCGUAGUCGAAUGGACGAACGGGUCGAUAUUCCCGUACCGGCAUGCAACCGGCAAAACCGAAUCCGCGAGUACUAACCUCCGGGUCCGGGCUCACGUCUCCUUCGGGAGCCGGAUGCCCUGGCCUGUUGGGACCGUAACGGUAGUAGGUCAGCGCGGGAGUGACGCAGAAGGGUAGCCGGCCGCGGAGGUGGUCUUCCGUGGUCAAGCACGCAGCCCGUCCCACAGGCAAAUCCGUGGGGCGCGUGGGCGAGGUGCGAUGAUGGGCGCCGCAGGGCGCGAUAUCCGGUGAUCCCGGCUGCCGAGAAAAGCUUCGGCGUGAGGCGGCAUGCCGCCCGUACCCCAAACCGACACUGGUGGUCAGGUAGAGAAUACCAAAGCGAUCGAGCGAAUCCUGGUCAAGGAACUCGGCAAAUCACUCCCGUUCCUUCGGUUUAAGGGAGACCCCCGAUGGUGAAGCGGCUUGCCCGCGGAGCUUUUGGGGGUGGCACAGACCAGGGGGUAGCGACUGUUUACCAAAAACACAGGAGCGUGCGAAGGCGCAAGCCGCUGUAUACGCUCUGACGCCUGCCCGGUGCCGGAAGGUUAAGAGGAUCCGUCAGGCCUCGGCCGAAGCGGUGAAUUCAAGCCCCGGUAAACGGCGGUGGUAACUAUAACCAUCCUAAGGUAGCGAAAUUCCUUGUCGGGUAAGUUCCGACCUGCACGAAUGGCGUGACUUCCCCACUGUCUCGACCAGGAGCUCGGCGAAAUUGCAGUACGAGUAAAGAUGCUCGUUAAGCGCAGAAGGACGAAAAGACCCCGGGACCUUUACUAUACCUUGGUAUUGGCAUUCGGUGUGGAUUGUGUAGCAUAGGCGGAAGGCUUCGAAGCCACGGCGCCAGCCGCGGUGGAGCCGCAAGGUGAAAUACCGCUCUGUUCGCAUUGGAUGUCUAACCUCGACCAGUCAUCCUGGUCAGGGACAGUGCCUGGCGGGUAGUUUAACUGGGGCGGUUGCCUCCCAAAGAGUAACGGAGGCGCUCAAAGGUUCCCUCAGCCCGGUUGGCAAUCGGGUGGCGAGUGUAAGUGCACAAGGGAGCUUGACUGCGAGACUGACGGGUCGAGCAGGGACGAAAGUCGGAACUAGUGAUCCGGUGCCGGUGUACGGACGCGGCAUCGCUCAACGGAUAAAAGGUACCCCGGGGAUAACAGGCUGAUCAUUCCCAAGAGUCCAUAUCGACGGGAUGGUUUGGCACCUCGAUGUCGGCUCGUCGCAUCCUGGGGCUGGAGCAGGUCCCAAGGGUUCGGCUGUUCGCCGAUUAAAGCGGCACGCGAGCUGGGUUCAGAACGUCGUGAGACAGUUUGGUCUCUAUCCUCUGCGCUCGUCGGAAUGUUGAGGAGGCCUGCCCAUAGUACGAGAGGACCUGGGUGGACGAACCUCUGGUAUGCCGGUUGUCACGCCAGUGGCACGGCCGGUUGGCUACGUUCGGAAGGGAUAACCGCUGAAAGCAUCUAAGCGGGAAGCCUGCUCCAAGAUAAGCAUUCCAUAGGACUACGGGUCCUUGAAGUCCCCAUGCAGAACACGUGGUUGAUAGGCCGGACGUGGAAGCCCCGCGAGGGGUGGAGCCGACCGGUACUAACGGACGAAAGGCAACACAAU
rnacentral:rRNA from 1 species